GAUGAAGAACGUAGCAAAAUGCGAUAAGUAAUGUGAAUUGCAGAAUUCAGUGAAUCAUCGAAUCUUUGAACGCACAUUGCGCCCGCCAGUAUUCUGGCGGGCAUGCCUGUUCGAGCGUCAUUUCAACCCUCAAGCACAGCUUGGUGUUGGGACUCGCGUUAAUUCGCGUUCCCCAAAUUGAUUGGCGGUCACGUCGAGCUUCCAUAGCGUAGUAGUAAAACCCUCGUUACUGGUAAUCGUCGCGGCCACGCCGUUAAACCCCAACUUCUGAAUGUUGACCUCGUAUCAGGUAGGAAUACCCGCUGAACUUAAGCAUAUCAAUAAGCGGAGGA
rnacentral:misc_RNA from 1 species